rnacentral:SRP_RNA from 2 species
GCUGGGUAUGGUGGUGCAUGCCUGUAGUCCAAGCUACUCAGGAGGCUGAGGCGGGAGGAUCGCUUGAGCCCAGGAGUUCAAGGCUGCAGUGAGCCAUGAUUGCAUGCCACUGCACUCCAGCCUGGGCAACAGAGUGAGAUUUGUCUCAG